GUCCCCAUAAAUUCAAAGCUCACGGAAAAUACCAAUCGAGAAUUAAAGAGAGAGAAUCAAAGAAUAAAUAAAUAAAAAUAUUAUCAAAAUAUUAACCUCAAUUCAGGGAAAAGAAUCAGAUUCCAAAACAUUGUUUGUUCUUCGUUCAAUUAGGUUCCGAUUGUUCUAUUCACAAAUCUAGAAAAAUCUGGUAUUUGGUGGUUUUGUUUUGGAGUAAUGAACGAGCAAGGGAAAAAAAUGAUGAAUCAACAACAACAAAGGAUGAGUAUGAGUCAACAAAACCAAAUGAUAAGUAUGAGUCAACAACCACCUCAGAUCUUGAAUCCACAGCUUCAACAGCAACAACAGCAGCUUCCUCCACAGAUGAUGAAUCGGAGCUACCGGAUGUGGCCGCCUUUGCCUCCUCCGUCUCAAAACCCUAACCCUAAUUUGAAGCAAUUUGUUACUGGGAAGCAGCACCCCAAACCCUUAGGUCCUCGAAACAAUUGGAAGGGUAAAAAGGUAAAUAAGAGGAAUGAGAUUGGAACUAGUGGUGGUAGUAGUACUGCUGUCGGAGGAUAUAAGCCGCCUACAUUAAAUGAUUUGCAACAACAAAACCGAUUAAAGGCUCGGAGAUUUUUCCCUAAGAAGAAAUAUUAUCAUAAUAAUAAUAACAGGACUGCACCCUAUGCGCCGAGGAACACAUCUUCGUAUAUUAUUAGGGCUAAAAAGAGUGGUGGGAUUGCGUCGUUGGUGUCGCCGUGCCCUGUUACUCCGGCUGUGCUGCCUACGCCAAUGUUUUCUCCGUCGAGGGAAGUGUUAGUGGAUAUGGCUAAAGAGGAAUGGGGGGUUGAUGGGUAUGGAUCGAUGAAUGGGUUGAUUAGACUGAGGUCGCCGGGAGGAAAUGAGGAUGAGGAAGAAGAGGAGGGAGGAUCGAGUGAGAGUGACGUGGAGGAACACGUGGAGGUGGAGAGGCGGUUGGAUCAUGAUUUGAGUAGGUUUGAGAUGAUUUACCCAAAUUAUAGUAGCGGGAUGGAGUAUAACAAUGUGUUGGGUAACCGUGUGGAUGAUCAGGAUACACAUAUUGCUCAAUUGGAGGAGGAGAACUUGAUUUUGAAGGAUAGAUUGUUCUUGAUGGAGAGGGAGUUGGGUGAUUUGAGGAGGAGGUUGCAUAGUCUCGAGAGGCGGGGUCAUGGUUAUGAUGAGAUGAAUGAGGAGGUAGUGGAGAAUGAGUCUGAGAGCGAGAGUGAGAGUCAUGGGGAUGGUCAUUCUUUGGAGGAUAACAACGUUGAGCUCGAAGGUGUUGGGAAUGUAAGAGGGAAGGAAGAGAAUAGGAUUGAGGAUGAUGCUGAGUUUGUAGAAAAUGAAGAGAGAGUUGGAAAAGAAGGUGAACAGGUUAAUGCUAGUGGUAUUGAUGAAGCUGUUGAAAAGGAAUCAAAUGAAGUAGGAAAAGAAGAUGAAGAAGUUGAUGGAAAUGCUAUGGAUGAAGUCCCUAAAAAGGAAAUCGUUGCUGAUGUUGGAAGCAAGAGUGAACUGAACGACGAUGCAGACGUGAAAACUGGGAAUGAGGUUCAGUUUACUGAAUUGAACAAGAACACUGAAAACAAGGUUCAGGCAUCAGAUAAUGCAAGUGUUGAAGAUGUUACUAUGGAGGAGACUUCUAGAGUGGACGCUGAUGCGAUUUCCAAGACAAAGAAAGAGGAUGAAUUGCCAGGACAUGAAUGAUCAGGGAAGAGCAUUUGCGAUGGUAACUUGUCAAGUUUCCCUCGUCAAUUAGAGGUGAUGUCCUAUUGCUGGUGACAGAAAAGUGGGGGCAGUGCUGAUGUUAAUUGUCCUCUGCUGCAUUUGUUGAGUUUGCUACAGAACAUGCAUGUCACUAUAAUUGUGAAGAUCUAACACUGUUUAGUGUACAGUGCUUCAUCUGCUUUAAUCCUUGUUAUAUUGGACUUCGAUCACCUGCCAUUCUUUCGAUUUUGUGUCUGAUUAAGAAGUAUAACGUGCUGCAGGCUGGUACGUACACACUUUUUCAGAGUAUUUCAAUCUUUUGAUCUUUAUCAAAAGGGGGGAAAAAAAGGGAACAGGGAAGUAGUUUUCAAUCUGGAGAUGUUGCUAAUUUGAUGGCCUUCUAAUAUUAGCUGUUGUUUAUCCUG